ensembl:snoRNA SNORA72 Small nucleolar RNA SNORA72
CAGUGAAUAUUCUUGCUAUUCUGAUUUUAUAAUCAUCAGGGCAGGCUUGAUCACUCGCUAUAAUAAGUCCAUGCAUAUGUCCCCAGACCUAGCUCUUUACCUAUGAAGGUCUGGUCUUGAAAAUGAUGGUGAUAAAU